rnacentral:lncRNA from 1 species
GAAUUUUUACUGAAAACAUUUGCCAUGAUGAAAGUGUUAAAACAUGUCAACAGAUGGUGUGCAGGUACUAAAGUGAAUAAUAAAAUAAUUUGCGAACUAAUUAAUUUAAUAGUAAGGGGUCAGACAAAGAUGAGAGAGGUCCAAAUUAUCAAAUAAACCAAAAUAACCAAUUCAUUCCUAGAACAAUUGCCAGUGAUUCAGCAACAGAGAAAUUAGCAAAAAAAACAAAAAAAAAAAACCCUGGCCCAUUGUGUACUCGGUGGAAUUCGUAGCUUUGGCUUUUCAUUUUUAUAAAGUUGGUAAAGAAUCUCUUUGAUAAAUAUUCUUAGGUUUACCGACAAACCAAUAAAUGCACCAUCAGGGCUAGAAAAUACGUUAUCUACAGUACAUAAUUUGGACAUGUUCUAUGGAAUACAAUUACUUAAGAUCAAGAAAACAUACUGAUAAGGUACCGACUGGAACCGACUGGAAUUCAGAUGAACGAGUUAAUGACUUUUGAUUGAACAAUAAGAGAAUUACAGGAAUGAAAUGACAAAAAGCCUAUAGAAGGCUGUAACCGAGAAUAACUUUACUAUCUUCAAAUAUUGCCUACCUCUGGCUAUUUUUCUACCAUUAUUUAUAGCCUAACUCUAACAGAUUUUCCUAACAGUAAAUCCCUUCUAACGGAUUUUAGUUUUCCUAGCUGGCAGUCCAUCCUUCUUGGGCCUUCUAGAAUAAGUAAAUUGAAUCGGGGGCCUAUCAAUACCCCCGGGUUCGUAAGACACCUUGUCCUCAAGGUAGAAAUUUGGGAAGUGUUGCAGAAUUGAGUCGACCGAUUCCCAUGAAGCAUCAGAGGUUGGAAGGUCCUUCCAUUGUAUUAAUGCUUCCUGACCUGGGGGCUGGCCUGGGGGAUUUUGACGUACUCCCAGGACUUGAUCGGGUUCUACCAUCCAUUCGAGGUUUGCAUCCAGGUGGGGAGGAAUUAGCUGGCAGGUUUCUACCACCCCAACUGAUUUUUUUAGUUGUGACACAUGGAAAACCGGAUGUAUUGUUGUCUCAGGGGGUAACUUCAAUUGAUAGGCCACGGGGCCGAUGCGCGUCGUUACCUCAUAUGGACCAAAGUACUUAGGUCCCAAUUUUUCACUCUAUUUCCUGGCUAAUGAUCUGUGUCGAUACGGCCGAAGCUUCACAUAGACUAAAUUUCCUACUGCAAACUGGACAUCCCUCCGGUUACUAUCUACAGCUGCUUUCAUUUUGUCCUGAGCACGAAGGAGGUGGGACUUUAAUUCCUCCAGAACAACGUCUCUGUCUUUGAGCUGCUGCUCCACUGAGUUCACGGCUGUCUUCUAGUUGCCAUAGCAGAUCAAGGGAGGAGGAUCCCUCCCAUAAAUGGCUCGGAAAGGAGUUGUGUUUAUUGACACAUGAAAGGUUGUGUUAUACCAAUAUUCUGCCCGAGGUAACCAAGUACUCCAUGUUUUAGGCUUGUCGUAGGCGAAGCACCUCAAGUAGGCUUCCACACAUCAGUUCACAAGUUCUGUUUGCCCAUCGGUCUGUGGAUGGUAGGCCGUGCCGGAAGAGUUCUGUCCAGAAGUGACUUAAGAACAACUUGUCUCGAUCUGAAACUAUAGAGCGGGAAUACCAUGGAGUCGCACAAUUUUUUUGACAAAAACUGUUGCUACCCCAAAUGCAGUGAAAGGAUGUUUAAGGGGCAGGAAAUGUGCAUACUUGCUUAAGCGGUCUACCACCACUAGCAGCGAGUCAUACCCCCCCAAUUUAGGUAGUCCUUCCACAAAGUCCACCGAGAUAUCGUCCCAAAUCUAGUGCGGAAUUGGCAGGGGCUGAAGCAGUUAAGCAGGGGAGAGAGCUAAACUUUUAUUUUGUUGGCAUAUUGGACACUCAUUUACAAACUUCUUGAUGUUUUUCUUCAUUCUUGACCAAUAAAGUUUACUGGUCACCCUUUUGUACAUUCGAAGGAAUCCGGAGUGGCCUCCCACUAAGCUACUGUGAAACUCUUUAAGUAGUGUAGGAAUCAAUGUUGAAGUAUGGAGAAGCACGAGUCGUCCUUUGAAAAACAGCCUGUCUUGGUUGACUGAAAACCUUGGAUGUGCAUCUGGAUCCUCCUGUACUUCUUUCUUGAUUUUUGAGAGUAGGGGAUCAUUAUUGACUUGCGUACUAAUCUGUUGUUCGUCCAUGAGUACUGGGAAUGUGAGGGCUGCAAGUUCCGGUUGAAUGGGGAUGCGGGAUAAGGCAUCGGCAGCUUUAUUUUUCACUCGUGGCCGAUAUUGUAUCUCAAAGUCAUAGCCCAUCAGUUUGGUUACCCAUCGCUGAAAUUCCUCGGGAUGACUCGCCGUUCCAGCAAAUACUUUAGGCUGCGCUAAUCAGUACGGACAACGAAUUUUCUUCCCAUCACAUAGUGCCUCCAUUUUUGAAUAGUCAAGACCACUGCCAUCAACUCCCUCUCAUAAAUGGAUUUCUGCUGCGACCUUGCUGAUAACACCUUACUGAAAUACGCAAUGGGUUGCUGGUUUUGCAUGAUGACUGCACCUAUCCCAUGUCCUGAAGCAUCGGUCUCAAUGAUGAAAGGUUUAGAAAAAUCAGGGAGAGCCAAAACUGGAACUGUGAUCAUUGCUAAUUUCAACUUUUGGAAUGCUGCCUGUGCCUUCUCAUUCCAGUUGAAUGCAUCUGUUUUUAGUUGCUGUGUGAGCGGCCAAGAAAUAGCGCCAUGUCCUACAACGAACCUUCAGUAAUAUCCUGUUAGCCCCAAAAAUCCUCGAAGAUCCCUGAUAUUACGCGGAGUUGGCCACCCGACCAUGGCUUCUACUUUAACCAAGUCUGCUGCUACUCCUGCUGCUGAAACUAAGUGACCCAGUACUCAAUCUGUUGUUGGGCAAAGAAGCAUUUCUUGGCAUUAGCGUACAACUGGUGCAUCUAUGGGGCAGUAAAGACCGUGUCCAAGUGCUGUUCAUGAGUCACUGAGUCUUUACUGUAGAUUAAAACACCGUCGAAGAAGACUAGUACAAAUUUCCUUAGGUACCUCCUGAAUAUGUCAUUCAUUAAUGAUUGAAAUGUAGCCGGGGCGUUGGUAAGGCCGAACGGCAUGACCAAAAAUUCGUAAUGCCCCUCGUGUGUUCUAAAAGCUGUUUUAUGCACAUCUUCUUUCCGCACCCGAAUCUGGUGAUACCCCGAUUUAAGGUCUAUUUUUGAAAACAUGGUGGCUCCAUAAAGUUCGUCCAACAGCUCGUCGAUGACUGGAAUGGAAAAUUUAUCUAGAAUAGUCGCCUUAUUCAGUGCCCUGUAGUCAACACAGAACAGCCAGCUGCCAUCUUUCUUUUUGACGAGUAACACGGGGCUCAAAAAUGGGCUAGCACUGGGUUGAAUUAUCCCUGCAGCCAACAUCUCUCCCACUAAUCUUUCGAUCUCAUUCUUUUGGAUGUGGUGAUACCAAUAUGGUCUGACACUAACAGGCUCUACCCCUUCCUUGAGAGGAAUUGCAUGGUCCAAGUUACGGGUAGGAGGUACUCCUACUGCUUCUGUGAAGACCUGCUUAUAUUUCUGUAAAAGUUUCAACACUUUCUCCGGUACCCCUUCCUUUUUCCUGUAGUCCUUACUCCUUGGCUCCUCCACCUCUACCAAAAUCCCUUGGCCUUCAUUCUGCAAGGCCUUCACCAUUGCCCUAAGAGAGACCCCUGAUUUAUUUAGCCCCUGAUCACCCUUAAUUGUCAUCACUGUAUCACCCAUUUGAAAUCGCAUAGUUAGCGAUUUCCAGUUAACCUCCAUACUUCCCAAACUGGCUAACCACUGCAUUCCUAACAUGUCGUCUGUACUACCUAGCUCCAAGGGUAGGAAAUCCUCAAUGAUAGUCAAUCCCUGCAUUUCUAGAACGAUCCCCUUGCAGAUCCCCCUUCCUCUAACUGAUUCCCCUGUCCCCAUGACAACUCCAUAAUGGUUCGUGACUGUGGUAGGGAGCCCCAAUUCCUGGACCAAUUUUAGAGCUAUAAAAUUGUGAGUUGCCCCACAAUCAAUGAGCACAAUUACCUCGCGUUUCCCAACGGCGCCCCUUAGCUUCAUGGUCCCUGGAGUAGUUAAGCCCACAACCGAAUUGAGCGACAACUCCACCACGUUCGCCACCUCCAAUGGGUGCUCCCCAACCGGAAUUUCGAAAUCCGAUUCACCUGCAUCUUCGUUUUCUUGCACCAAAAGUACCCUUAACUCUCAAUUUUUGCACUGGUGUCUAGCCGUGUAUUUUUCCUCACAUCUCAAGCAUAACCCUUUUUCUCGCCUCAUCUUCCAUUCGGCGUCAAUCAUUCGCUUUACCGAAACUUCCCUUCUGCUCGCGAUCCUUUCCUCCACUGUUACUGUCUUUGUGGGAAACGAGUCUGGCCUGGAAGUCGCUGGGUUGAGUUUAUAAUUCCUUGGGGCUACGGGCUCCCUUCCUUUUUUAACAAUCCAGUUUCGGUCUUCAACUCUUUGGGCUAUUUCCAUGAUUCGGCCCAGUCCUUUUGGGCCCAACAGACGGAUCUCAGCUCUUAUUUCAGGUUGCAGGCCAUUCACAAACGUACUCUCUAACACUUCAUCAAAGAUCCCCUUCAACGGAGCUGCCAAGACUUCGAACGUGCGUCUGUAUUCGGCUACUGUUCCGGUUUGAUUUAUGGCCAGAAAUUUCUCACAUAGACUACCCUCCUGUGUUGGUCUGAAUCGGAGUAUAAGUUCUUGCUUAAACUGCUGCCAAUUCCGAAAUGGGUUCCUCGCCUCCAUCUAUUGCAGCCAUGACAGAGCAUCUCCAUCCAAGCUUUACACCGAUUGCUCCCAUUUUCUCCUUUUCUGUCAGCCCGUUCACAUCGAAAUAUCUUUCUGCGCGGAAUAGCCACCCGUUGGGAUUCUCCCCGCUGAAAAUGGGCAUUUCAAGUUUUCUCACUCUUCGCCAGCCAUCACCCUCCUUCUCCUGUUCCACGAUCAUUGUCAAUCUUUCUUUACUGUUUGGUCCUAAUUCUUCUGGCCAUUUUCCUCAAUCCAUGAUGCGCUGGUCCCCCACCGAUCCUUGGUGUAUGUUAGGAGGUAUCGCCCCUCCUGUUAUACUCCCAGACCCCCUCCUUCAAAGCCGUCAUUCACUCCUGAUUUUGAAUCAAACAGUGCUGCCACAGUUUUCCUCAUUUCCUCCAUUCUGGGACAGUUGCUCAAAUGAUCUCCUAGCCCUGGAAGUCGCUGCAAUUCUAGUUUCACGUCCUCCAUCUCUUUCUCCAUUAAUUCUACUCUGCCUUCUGUUUAUUUUUGAGCCAUCAGAAACAACGUGCUCUGAUACCAAUUGAUAAGGUACCAACUGGAAUUCAGAUAAACGAGUUAAUGACUUUUGAUUGAACAAUAAGAGAAUUACAGGAAUGAAAUGACAAAAAGCCUAUAGAAGGCUGUAACCGAGAACAACUUUACUAUCUUCAAAUAUUGCCUACCUCUGGCUAUUUU